UAACAGUAUAUAUAGAUUUUUUUCCCUUCAAUCUUACUUCUAAGAAACUUAGUCCAAAAAUAAUGUCUUUUAUUCUACGAUAGUCAGAUGUAGUCCUAAUUCUUAGUCAAUAGGUAACACAAUCUCUACUUUUUCAAAGCUUCAAUUUCUUCAAUUUCUUUUGGAGCAGCACUAGUUAAUACGAACGGCUUGUCAUCACCAACGAUUACGCUAUCUUCAAUUCGAAUAGCUAUUCCUUGAGCCCAUUGAGGCCAUCCGUCUUCUUCUGGAACAUAUAGUCCGGGUUCUAUGGUAAUCUAAACCCCGUUUAGCAAAUAAUCUGAAAAGAACUUCAACUUACAACUUGGUUUUUGCGCAACGGUUGGUAACCAUUAUUCGUAGAACAAUCGUGAAUCUCUAGUCCAAUCUCAUGCCCAAUUGAAUGCGGAUACAAUAUAUCUGUAAUCUCCUAUAGCCAAGGAAGUUAGUACGAAUAUUUUGCGAAGUAGCAAACUUACCCGUUUAGUUCCAUGAAUGCCGACCUGCUUCAAUUCUUCAUGCAUUAAUUUAACACUUUCAAAGUGAAUAUCAGCCAAGCUCCAGCCAUUACUGGUGCAACAAUACUUAAUACAUUUCUUUUGCACAUUCAGAACUGCUUGAUAUAAAUCCCUUUGUACAGUACUAAAUUUGCCGUUGAUGGGCCAAGUCCUCGAGAUAUCUGUUACAUAACCACCGAAUUCCUGUUAAGCAAGUGUUAAUUGACAAAAAAUUGAAGGCACUUACACCGCCAGCGUCUACCAAAACCAUUUCGUCAGGACGGAAUAUAUCAUUAUUAAUUGUGUAAUGGAUAGUCAAGCCAUUCUUCUUUGUUAAUAAAGCUUAAAGUAAUAGCAUUCAGCAUUUUCAGGAAUUGAUUACUUACUUUUCCACCUGCUACUACAGGCACAUAUGCGGAUCUAUCACAGCCUCCAAUACAAAACCGAUAAUUGAAUUCCGCGGACAUUUCAGCUUCUUUCUCAAAUCUUUUCCGCAUAAUUUCCCUGUAAACAUUUGAACUUAUAUUGGCUGCUUCUUUCAUGCACUCCAAUUCAGCCGUACUUUUAAUGCUCCUAAGCGGAUGAAGAAGUUCAUCUACCGACCUUUGGGUUGAGGUUCUAAAGAGUUUAGUAAGCGUAUCUUGUAUGAAUUCAGGAGCGGAUGCAGCUGGCAUUUUUGAGAGGUAUCCGGUUUGGUAAUUAUAAAAAAUCCUAUUCGACUUUUUUCCUAGAGCGUUUAUAACCGAGGAAGCUAGACUAGAAUCAUAAACCUAAUAAUUAAUACCUUAAUAACAAUAUGUUCGGCUUACAUUUUCUAUUUGAAAUAAUUUUUUCCCAAGUGUUGAACCUGUUCGAAGUCCUUCCCAUUUCUCUAUGUAUGGAUUCUUCGAUGGGAGAUAAAGAGAACAGUCAUAACUUCCACU